rnacentral:rRNA from 1 species
UACGGAGGAUCCGAGCGUUAUCCGGAUUUAUUGGGUUUAAAGGGUGCGUAGGCGGACCCUUAAGUCAGUGGUGAAAGUUUGCAGCUCAACUGUAAAAUUGCCAUUGAAACUGAGGGUCUUGAGUGUAAAUGAGGUAGGCGGAAUGUGUUGUGUAGCGGUGAAAUGCUUAGAUAUAACACAGAACACCAAUUGCGAAGGCAGCUUACUAGAAUACAACUGGCGCUGAGGCACGAAAGCGUGGGGAUCAAACAGG